UACGGGGGGGGGCAAGCGUUGUUCGGAAUUACUGGGCGUAAAGAGCUCGUAGGCGGUUUGUCGCGUCUGCUGUGAAAACUGGGGGCUCAACCCCCAGCCUGCAGUGGGUACGGGCAGACUAGAGUGCGGUAGGGGAGAUUGGAAUUCCUGGUGUAGCGGUGAAAUGCGUAGAUAUCGGAAGGAACAUCAAGUGGCGAAAGCGACUUCCUGGACCAGUACCGACGUCAGGCACGAAAGCCGUGGGGAGCAAACAGGA
rnacentral:rRNA from 1 species